rnacentral:rRNA from 1 species
GACAGAGGGUGCAAACGUUGCUCGGAAUCACUGGGCGUAAAAGGGCGUGUAGGCGGGAAGGAAAGUCAGAUGUGAAAUCCCUGGGCUCAACCCAGGAACUGCAUUUGAAACUCCCUUUCUUGAGUGUCGGAGAGGAAAGUGGAAUUCCUGGUGUAGAGGUGAAAUUCGUAGAUAUCAGGAGGAACACCGUGGCGAAGGCGGCUUUCUGGACGACAACUGACGCUGGAGACGCGAAAGCGUGGGGAGCAAACAGG